GACAACACAGACAGUCGUGUUGCUAUGACAACAGAAAGCGAAGUGUUUCCCGGGUAACGGCAGCAGGAAGCGAUCCAGAGUGUUGUAACCGCAGUCGGUCCAGUUUCUGUCUCUCGCUUUGCGUCUUUUGAUGAUUUUCGCUUUAAAUUGAAUCCAGCUAUGCAGCCGUCCCUUCCUCGUGGUUCCAUUAGUCUGUGUGUUUACUGGGGUUUAGUCAUCAUUCCAUUAGUCUGUGUGUUUACUGGGGUUUAGUCGUCGUUCCAUUUGUCUGUGUGUUUAGUGGGUUUUAGUCGUCUACUCCAGUUAAUCCCAGUCUGUGACCAUGAGGGAGGCUGCUCUGAGAAUGAGUUUGCUUCAGAAAUGACUAACUAUGGUCUUAAAGACUCAAUUAUCCACUUCCACUUUUUACAUGCGCUGUUCAUUGUAUCAUGAUUUAAAUUGUGCAAAAGGAUACAGCUUUUAGGUGCUUUCGUUUGUUUUUAACCCUUCUGUUGUAUUCUUGUUUCAUUUUUUAAUAUAAUCUCUGUGUUGCACUUAUAAAUGGACACCAAGUCAAUAUUUUAUUCAGUCUGUAAACAGUCUAUUUAGUAGAGGAAUCUAUCGGACAACAACCCUCUCCUCAAAUCAAUCACCGGACUGGACUGGGACUACAAUCACCGGACUGGACUGGGACUACAAUCACCGGACUGGACUGGGACUACAAUCACCAGACAGGACUGGGACUACAAUCACCAGACAGGACUGGGGGGACUACAAUCACCAGACAGGACUGGGACUACAAUCACCAGACAGGACUGGGGGGGACUACAAUCACCAGACAGGACUGGGACUACAAUCACCAGACAGGACUGGGGGGGACUACAAUCACCAGACAGGACUGGGGGGACUACAAUCACCAGACAGGACUGGGGGACUACAAUCACCAGACAGGACUGGGGGGACUACAAUCACCAGACAGGACUGGGGGGACUACAAUCGCCAGACAGGACUGGGACUACAAUCACCAGACAGGACUGGGGGGGACUACAAUCACCAGACAGGACUGGGGAGGACUACAAUCACCAGACAGGACUGGGGGGGCUACAAUCGCCAGACAGGACUGGGGGGGACUACAAUCACCAGACAGGACUGGGACUACAAUCACCAGACAGGACUGGGGGGGACUACAAUCACCAGACAGGACUGAGGGACUAAUCACCAGACAGGACUGAGGGACUAAUCGCCAGACAGGACUGAGGGACUAAUCGCCAGACAGGACUGAGGGACUAAUCGCCAGAGAACACUGGGAUUCUGGGACGACAUCAAGAGAAGCAGGAUGGAUCUGUUCAGAAAUGGACGAACUACACCUCACUCUUUCAACAGAGAAACUCCGAUUCCCACAAUUCUGUCUGCUCGGAAUCCAACUCUGUCUUUUAAAGCAAACCUUCUGAAUCAUGCUGGAACUGGUUUUACCCUGUCUUGUGAAUCUGUCCCGUGUGGAUGUGUGUGGGUGGGUGGGUGUGUGGGUGGGUGCCAUGCAGGCCCUGAAGUGUGUGUCAGGGACUGUCUGUUUCAGUGUUCUGUAAGGGUGAACUCUGACCUCUGCUAUGCUCUGUAAGGGUGAACUCUGACCUCUGCUAUGCUCUGUAAGGGUGAACUCUGACCUCUGCUAUGUUAAUAUGAUGAACACUACAGGUUUGACACAAAACAAAAACAUUUUAAUAAAUGUAUCAAAACACAAUGGUGUAUUUAUUAAGAACUCAGGGUUCGGUAAUACCCUCACAGUUAAUACCUGGUAACCCUAACCCUCACAGUUAAUACCUGGUAACCCUAACCCUCACAGUUAAUACCUGGUAACCCUAACCCUCACAGUUAAUACCUGGUAACCCUAACCCUCACAGUUAAUACCUGGUAACCCUAACCCACACAGUUAAUACCUGGUAACCCUAACCCUCACAGUUAAUACCUGGUAACCCUAACCCUCACAGUUAAUACCUGGUAACCCUAACUCUCACAGUUAAUACCUGGUAACCCUAACCCUCACAGUUAAUACCUGGUAACCCUAACCCUCACAGUUAAUACCUGGUAACCCUAACCCUCACAGUUAAUACCUGGUAACCC
rnacentral:lncRNA from 8 species